CACGUAGGGUGCGAGCGUUGUCCGGAAUUAUUGGGCGUACAGAGCUCGUAGGCGGUGUGUCGCGUCGGCCGUGAAAACCUGCAGCUUAACUGUGGGCUUGCGGUCGAUACGGGCAUCACUGGAGUUCGGCAGGGGAGACUGGAAUUCCUGGUGUAGCGGUGAAAUGCGCAGAUAUCAGGAGGAACACCGGUGGCGAAGGCGGGUCUCUGGGCCGAUACUGACGCUGAGGAGCGAAAGCGUGGGGAGCAAACAGG
rnacentral:rRNA from 1 species